CGGGCUUGCCUCAGUAACGGCGAGUGAAGCGGCAACAGCUCAAAUUUGAAAUCUGGCCUCUUUGGGGUCCGAGUUGUAAUUUGUAGAGGAUGUUUCGGGUACCGCCUCGGUCUAAAUUUCUUGGAACAGAAUGUCAGAGAGGGUGAGAAUCCCGUCUUGGACCGGCGGUAGGGCCCAUGUGAAACUCCUUCGACGAGUCGAGUUGUUUGGGAAUGCAGCUCAAAAUGGGUGGUAUAUUUCAUCUAAAGCUAAAUAUUGGCCAGAGACCGAUAGCGCACAAGUAGAGUGAUCGAAAGAUGAAAAGAACUUUGAAAAGAGAGUUAAACAGUAUGUGAAAUUGUUGAAAGGGAAGCGCUUGCAACCAGACUUGAGCGCGGCGGUUCCCCCUUCCUUUUGGUUGGGUUACUCCGUCGUGUCCAGGCCAACAUCGGUUCUGGGGGUCGGUUAAAGGCUUGGGGAAUGUACCUACGUCUUCUGGCGUAAACUUAUAGCCCCGAGUGUCAUGCGACCUCCCGGGACCGAGGAACGCGCUUCGGCUCGGAUGUUGGCGUAAUGGUUGUAAGCGGCCCGUCUUGAAACACGGACCAAGGAGUCUAACAUCUAUGCGAGUGUUUGGGUGUCAAA
rnacentral:rRNA from 1 species